GACGAACGCUGGCGGCGUGCUUAACACAUGCAAGUCGAACGGAAAGGCCCUGCUUUCGCGUGGUGCUCGCGUGGCGAACGGGUGUGUAACAUGUGAGUAACCUGCCCUUGACUUUGGGAUAACUUCAGGCAACUGGGGCUAAUACCGGAUAGGAGCUCCUGCUGCAUGGGGGGGGUUGGAAAGUUUCGGCGGUUGGGGAUGGACUCGGGGCUUAUCAGCUUGUUGGUGGGGUAGUGGCUUACCCAGGCUUCGACGGGUAGCCGGCCUGAGAGGGUGACCAGCGACAUUGGGACUGAGAGACGGCCCAGAGUCGUACGUGGGGCAGCAGUGGGGAAUAUUGCACAAUGGGCGGAAGCCUGAUGCAGCGGCGCCGCGUGUGGGAUGACGGCCAUCGGGUUAGAAACCGCAUUCGCCUGUGACGAAGCGUGAGUGACGUUAAUAGGUAAAGAAGCACCGGCUAACUACGUG
rnacentral:rRNA from 1 species